GAUUCAUCAUGGUAUUGUACCAGUAAUUCUCUUCUUUCUCAUUACCUUUUAUUUAUCCAUUCUUCUGGUUGGUAGACAUUUGAAUUGUCUUGUUUUUGGUACAUGGAUAUGGCGUCCAUAAACACUCUUUUGUAAGUGUUUUGUGGACACGUGCUUUUAAUUCUCUUGGGACAAUACUAAGAGUGGAAUUGCUAAGUCACAGAGUAGAUGUUCCUUAACUUUAUGUUUUGUUUGUCAACUCAUUGAGAUAUAAAUGUACGUGCAAUAAAAAGAAUACAUUUUAAGUGUAAAGUUCAGUUAGCUUUGACAGAUGUAUACCUUAUGAGAUCAUCAUCUCAGUUCAGAUAUCAUCCCAUAAAUUUCUGUUAUUCUGCUUUACAGUUAAUUGGUCCCCGCAUCUCCCAUCCCAGGUAAUCACUAAUUAACCUUUGCCACUUUAGAGCAUUAUAGAAAUGGAAUCAGAGAGUGUGUACUUGUUUACUCCUGGCUUUUUCACUCAGCCUAAUGUUUCUUAAAUCCACUCAGUGUUCUUUCUUUCUUUCUUUUUUUUUUUUUAUUGCUGAGUAGCUUUCUAUCAUGAAUGUAAAAUAGUGUCUCCAUUCACGUGUUACUGGUCAUCACGAUUCUAUGAACAUCUGUGUAUAAGUCUUUUUGUGGCCAUAGGUUUUUAUUUCCUUUGGGUAAAUCCUUAGGAGAUGAAUUUCUGGGUCAUAUGGUAAGCAGUUACCAGAAGCUUCUAAACUAUUUUCCGAAGCCAUUUAUCAUUUGACACUCCCACCAGUGAUAUAUGGGAGUUCUGGUUGCACCAUAUCCUUGCCAACACUUGAAAUCCUCAGUCUUUGUAAUGUCAUGAGAUGGAUUAUCAUUGUAGCUUCAAUUAUUUAAUUUUCUCUUUUUUUAAUGUGUGUUUUGGCCAUCAGUGUAUUUUGUGAAAUCUCAAUUUGAGUCUCUUUCUCACUCUUUUUUUAAUUGGGCUAUUUUGUCGCCUUUAUAAAUUAUAGAUACAAGCCUUUCAUCAGCCAUAUAAGUUGUAUCUUGUCUGCAUGUGGCUUGGUCUAUUCAAAUUAUAAUGAUGUCCUUUGAAGAACAGGGGCUCUUAUUUUGGUACAUUCUGUUAUUUAUUCUUCUUUCAUGAUUAGUGAUUUUUGUAUCUAGUCUAAGAAAUAUUUGUCCUACUCCAAUAGGAAAAUUAUGAAGAUUUUCGACUAUGCAAUUUCCACAAAUAUGAUUGAUUUUGAUUUUAUUUUUAUGUAUAUUGUGAGGUAAAGAUCUUCCAUCCAUACAGAUAGCCAGUUUUUCCAUCAUCAUCUGUUGAAAACCAUGCUUUCCUAUAGAUUUAUGUUGGUGCUUUUAUCAAAAAUCAAUUUCUAGGGGCGCCUGGAUGGUGCAGUCGGUUAAGCGUCCGACUUCAGCCAGGUCACGAUCUCACAGUCCGUGAGUUCGAGCCCCGCGUCAGGCUCUGGGCUUAUGGCUCAGAGCCUGGAGCCUGUUUCCGAUUCUGUGUCUCCCUCUCUCUCUGCCCCUCCCCCGUUCAUGCUCUGUCUCUCUCUGUCCCCCCAAAAAUAAAUAAACGUUGAAAAAAAAUUUUUUUAAGAAAAUCAAUUUCUAGAUGUUUAAGUCUAUUUCUGGACUCCUUUUUUUCUGAUCCUUUGAUCUAUAUGUCCAUCUUUAUGCCAUUACAACACUGUUUCCAUUAUUACAGCUUUAUAUGAAGUCUUAAAGUCAGGUUAUAUAAGUUCUCCAACUUACACCUGCUGGCUAGUUUUCAUAUGGCCGGCACCUCUGUUUCUCUCUCCUGUGUGUCCUCAGCCCACAGAGUUCCUUCUGGCUUGUAAGAUGCUCACUAUCUUCUUGCCCCAGGAGUUCUCAUGGGAUAGUCCAAGAGUGACUGAGGCCUCACCUUACUGUGAGAUAAAAUAGAAAAGCCAGAGUUUCAAGGAAGAGAUGUAAAAAUAUGGCAGAAAGGACAUUGCUCCUAUUCAAAUUCGUAUACAAACCUCUCCUUUCCAGACAAACAUUUUCAAGUAUCUACUUGGCGCUGGGUGCUAUGCCAGGCACGUGAGCUGUGUCAGUGGGAAAAACUCACAAAAAAUCUCUCCGUUUCUGGAGCUUGUAUCCUAGUGGUGGGAAACAGAAUACAAACAAGGAACACAAUUCAUAGGUAGAAAAUUAAAUGUUGACGGGUGCCCUAGUGAAAAGGCCAGAGCUGGGUGAGAAAAUAGGGAAUACGUGUGUGGGGGGGCGGGGGGUGUGAAUAUCGCAAUUUAAAAUUGAUUGAUCAGAUACUCAAAUGAAUGCUUUGACACCAAUGUCCAGAACUGCACCAUUCACGAUAGUCAAAGGCAGAAGCAACCCAAAUGUCCAUGAAUGCAUAGCUGGAUAAACAAAUUGUGGGAUAUUCACACAAUGGAACAUCACUCAACCACUAAAAGGAACGUAGUACCGACACGUGCUUCAACAUAGAUGAACCUUGAAUACACUAUGCUACAUGAGAGAAGCCAGACAUCAAAGGUACUUACUUGAUGAUUCCAUUUAUAUGGAAUAUUCAGAAGGGGGAAAUCCAGAGAGGCAGAAAACAAACUGGUGGUUGCUAGGAGCCGGAGAAGGAGUAAUUACUAAUGGGAGUGAGAGUUUGUCUGGAGUGAUGAAAAUAUUUGGGAACUAGACAGAGGUGGUGGUUCACAGCAUCACGAAUACACUAAAUGCUACUGAAUUGUCAUUUUAGACCGAUUAAUUUUAUGUAAUGUGAAUUUAAGCUCAAUUAAAAAAAAAGCUAUUCAGAAGCAAAGAAAAAGAGAACAUUGAGUAGUCAGGGUAAGGCUUUUCGAGAAGCUACCACAGGAGCACUGACUUGGAGGAGAUGAGCAAGUUAGCCUGGUGGGAAACUGGAGGACACAGGGUUGGAAAGGAGGAACUGGGGAGGUGAUAGGUGGCCCCAGGUUGUGUGGGCCCUCAGAGCUGCUGCGAGGGCAUCGGCUCUUCCUUUGGGUGAGGAAGGACUAAAUGAUCUGCCUUGGGUUUUAAUAGAAUCUCUGGACCCCUAUAUUAGGAACAGUCUGAAGAGGGGCACCAGUGGGAGUAGGGGGAACUGACAGAAGCCAUUAUUAAAGCCCAGGCACGAGGUGGUGGUGGCUAGGGAGAGGGAGGUGGCUAGGGAGAUGGGGGGAGGUGCUGGCAGGUAGGAUGUGUUUGAAAGUGAGACCCAGAGGGUGUCCUGGUGGAUUGCAGGCCAAAUGAGUGAGGAAAAGAAGAGUUAAUUACACAGGGUGAGUUCUGGCUUGAGCAACUGGAGAGACGGAGUUGCCAUCACUGAGGUGAAGAAGACUGAGGGAGAAAGUGCUUUUCUUAGGGGCGAGGCAGGGAAGGAGCACUGAGAGCUCCUAGAGUUUGAAGUGUGGUGAAGAAGAAUCUGCCCAAGGUGCCACGGUGGACGGUGUGCCCCCCAGAACCUUCUCCCAAGACCCAGGCCAGGCUACCCACCGCCACACAGGGUCUGCCUCUGUCGGUUGUAGGCCCUAAGAACACCCCAUUGGGAGAAUGGGAGGAACAUGGCAUCCUAAAUCUCUCGAAUAAAAUGGGGGGAAGAUUUCCUCUUUGCUUAUUCCUGUGAGAAUUACUGAGAACCUGACCCACUUGGAUUCACAUGCGUGUAACAUGACAAAAUGUCCUGGCUUUUGACAUGGUUUACAGUAAGACCAUGGCCAUUUCUGGAGUGUGAGACAUACAUCUUGAUCUAAUUAUGACACCGGGCAAGACAAAUGGAGAAGUCUUGCAAGGUAUCUCCUAAGCUAGGCAGUAUUUGAGUGCCACGGUCCAAAUGCAAGUUGCUAGCUGUUACUCUGGAAAUAAAGGUUUUUUUGGGCUUUGUUCAUUUUUUAUCAGAAAUGUCAGAGAAUUAGAUUAGAAAUAGGGACACGUGAGAUUUCAAAACUAUAACCCCAAAUCAGAUGAAAAUUAUGGCUAAACUAAAAAAUCAGAAAGCAGUUAUGGCCAAAUUGGGUUAGAUUAAUUUUUAAAAAUGGAGAGUAGUUCUGAGAAAUCUUAAGAGGAAGAGGGUAUCCACUACAGAAACAAGCAGACAUUGAAAGAUUUCUCCUUAACUUGGGGCGCCUGGGUGGCUCAGUCGGUUGAGCAUCCGACUUCGGCUCACGUCAUGAUCUCACAGUUUAUGAGUUUGAGCCCGGCAUCGGGCUCUGUGCUGACAGCGUGGAGCUUGGGGCCCGCUUCGAGUUCUGUGUCUCCCUUUCUCUCUGCCCCUCCCCUGUCAUGCUCGCUCUCUCUCUCUCUCUCUCUCUCUCAAAAACAAAUAAUCACUAAAAAAUAAUAAUAAAAAGAAAAGUUUCUUCUUAACUUGACAGAAACUUAUGGGUGCCCCAAAUUCUGGUUUUUAUAAGUCUUUGCCUUUCACAUUUUGUCUUACUAAGUUGCUAUAAAAUACUAUACUUUUAUGUUGGAUGGGGUCUUGGUGGUCAGAAGCCAAAGUGGCUUAGUGAUUUAUAAAGAAGAAACUUUCAGGAAAUCAGAUUAGGUUAUUUUUGUUUAAUAACCCAGUCAUAAUUAUAAGAAAGAAAGCUUUGCUGCUGUCUUCUUUCUCUUUUUUAGUUGACAUUGAAUAAAAAAAGAAAAAAAAAACCCUUGGCUUUGAGGUUCAACAAAUUUGGUUUUAACCCUAGCCACAAGUAGAUGAACUUGGUCUAAUGAUUUAACCAGUCUCAGCCAUGGGUUUUAUUUUAAUCUGUAAAAUUGGAAGGGCGUUGAUGAUAAGUGGCACGCUGUACUAUACUUUAGAUGAAAGGACUUUAUUUUUUAUAAUUUCUAAAAAAAAAUUUUAAUGUUUAUUUUUGAGAGACAGCGAGACAGAGUGUGAGCAGAGGAGGGACAGAGAGAGACAGAAGGAGACACAGAAUCUGAAGCAGGCUCCAGGCUCUGAGCUGUCAGCACCGAGCCCGAUGCGGGGCUUGAACUCAUGAGCUAUGAGAUCAUGACCUGAACCGAAGGUGGACACUUAACCUACUGAGCCACCCUGGUGCCCCAGGACUUUACUGCUGAAUGGAUUAGUUGAUUAUCUUACAAUAGUCGUUAGAUUUUUACUAAAUGCUUCUGUAAGUUUUCAUGACUGUAUUAAAAUUCUAAUUGAAACCUUUUUUUUUUUAGGUUUAUUUAUUUAUUUUGAGAAAGAGACAGUGGGAGGGACAGAGAGAGAGGGAGAGAGAGAAUCCCAGGUAGGCUCCAUGCUGCCAACACAGCCCUGAGGUGGGGCUCAAACUCACAAACUGCAAGAUCAUGACCUGAGCUGAAACCAAGAGUUGGAUGCUUAACUGACUGAGCCACCAGGAGCCCCUAAACCUUAUUUUGAACUAAGAAAUCUUUUUAAAAUUUUUUUAAUGUUUAUUUAUUUUUGAGAGACAGAGAGAACGAGAAUGAGAGAAUACAAGCAGGGGAGGGACAGAGAGAGAGAGAGGGAGACGCAGAAUCUAAAGCAGGUUCCAGGCUCUGAGCUGUCAGCGCAAAGCCUGAUGUGGAGCUCAAACUCACCAACCAUGAGGUCAUGACCUGAGCUGAAGUUGGACGCUCAACUGACUGAGCCACCCAGGUGCCCCUGAACUAAGAAAUCUUAUUUGAAACUAGGAAACCAAUGCGAAUGUGGUCUGGUCUCAUGAAAAAUGCCUACAGUUAAUAAAACUUUUUGAAUCAUAUAUUAGUAUGCAAAAUAAAAGCUCAUAUUCAUGUAUGAGAACUUUCAAGUUCAUGCUAUUUUAUGUAACAAAAUGCUAUCUGGAGUUUAACCACACCCUGGGCACUGUUCCAAGCCCACUUGCUCCUGAUUCUGUGGUGUCAGUAUGAAACUCAUACGAUCUUGAUAAUAAGAGUCUGGACAACUAAAAGGAGGGUAGAGAUAAGCAGACCCAAUUCCCCGAAUUUACGUGAAACAUCUCAGGGUAAAUCUCCUAGCCGUGACAGGACUUUGCAUUUCUUCCUCUCGGAGCACGUGGCCAAUGUCCAAACUAUGACUGUAUCCCCAAGCAGGUAGGCAAGCCUGUGCAAGAGCUUUGCCAGCCACAGUGUGGGGUAAAGAAAACCUACUAGAACUCUUCAUUAGCAACACCUCCUCACCUUGCUCACCCACUGGCAGUGUGACCUAGUGGUUAGGUGUCUUUAAGGCCCACCUGCUUGGGUUCUGUGUCUUAGCAGCAUGUGACUUGGCCAAGUUGCUUAACUCUUCUGUGCCUCGGUGUCCUUAUCUGUAAAUCAGGAAUAGUAAUAAUAAUAACACCUGCCUUCUCAGGUGUUGUGACAGUGAAGGAGUUAACAAAUGUUAAGUCACUUAGAACUGUAUCUUGGCAUAGAGCAAGUUCGAGACAGAGCUCAACUAUUGUUAUGUUAUGACACCGGUCUGCAGUUAAUCCCUGAAUGCUUCUGGGAUGUGGUCGGUUUUAAAAGUGAGUUGAAUUUACUCAUAAUAGAGCAUUUCAGCUGCGUGUAGCUGAAAUCUAAUUUUGCAAUUAACAUUUGUUUUACAUGGAGCCCAAGGGUUGAAGGUUAUGGUCUUCUUUAUCAGGCCCCUUGAGGAGCCUUCUUACUCAUAAUUUAUCUCUAUGUCCCUGAACUCCCUAGAAAAACUUCCCUUUUCCAUCCAAACUGAGAUCCUUACAGGGACUUACAUGUGAGGAGCCCAGAAGCUGGAAUCUGUUUUUGGAUGAGUCUGGACCAUAAGCAGAGCAUUUACAAACCUCCAUAAAGUCUGGCUUACUUCUCAUUGCUUCCCCUCAUUUGCUUUUGGAACUCUCUGCACCAAAGCUCUCCAAACUGGAUGAGCAUGCUUAGCUAAUGUCUGCCAAAUGAAGUGUCAAGGGAUAUUGGGAAAGGCAGACUUAAGGCCCCAAGAUUUCAAGAUCAUUUAGAAUCAGCUGAGUAGUCCCAGGGCAACAGAAGCACGUGGGUGACUUGGUCCGUUAAGCCUCUGACUCUUGAUUUCUGCUCAUGUCCUGAUCCCAAGGUCCAUGAUCUGGAGCCCCAGAUCUGGCUUUGCGCUGACAUCAUGGGGUCUGCUUGGGAUUCUCUGUCUCUGUCUCUGUCUCUGUCUCUGCCCCUUCCCUGCUCAAGCACACGUGGUCUCUCUCUCUCUCAAAAUAAAUAAAUUGGUUAAAAAUAUUAUUAGGGCAAUAAAAGACAAGCAUUACUUAGCUUGAGAAACUGAUGCCAAACCAAGGGGAGAUGAUAGGAUUACUUCCUCUAAAGGGAUUACUCAAUGUUGUCAUUAUGUUUAAAUAUUUAUGUAACAAGGACAAAAAUUCUUGAUACAUGAUGCACCAGUAUUUUUGAACAAGUCAUGGAUUUUGGCUAAAAAAUCACAUUUCAUCGUGGGUGGAGUGAGGAAUGGUAGGAUGUCUUUGGCUGCCUCCCCUUCAAAAUAAAAGAGAGAGUUCAUGCACCUGAGGACUCUUCAAGGAAGGAGCCAGAAGAGGUGGAAGCUGUUCUUAGCGCAGUCAUUGACUUGGAGUCCCUUCCCUUCUGUCCUUCACUUUGGUUGAGACAGUGAAACCGCUUUCCAGCUAUAAAUUUCAGGGGCCACCAUCUACCUCCUAGGAGAGACCUUUACCAUCACAUGUCACGGAUUCGCCUUGAAUAAUCUCAACAGUUAGUUACCAACACUUGCUCUGGAUUGAAGAACUGACAAUGCGACUUUGGGCCUUGGCACUUUCAACAAUUCUGGUACAUUCCACAGCAGCUAAGUUUAGCAAAUCAUCCUGGGGCCUGGAAAAUGAGGCUUUAAUCGUGAGAUGUCCUAGGCAAGGACGAUCUCGAUACCCUGUGGAUUGGUAUUACUCAAAAACCAACAAAUGUAUCACUACCCAGAAAAGAAAUCAUGUACUUGCCUCAGGGGAACGUCUUAAGUUUCUCCCGGCCAAAGUCAACGAUUCUGGAAUUUAUACUUGCAUUAUCAGAAGCCCUACCUUCAAUAAGACUGGCUAUGUGAACGUCACCAUAUAUAAGAAACAGCCAAAUUGCAAUAUUCCAGAUCAUCUGAUGUAUUCAACAACACUUGGAUCAGAAACAAAUUCCAAAAUAUAUUGUCCUACGAUUGACUUGUACAAUUGGACGGCACCUAUUGAGUGGUUUAAGGAUUGUAAAGCUCUUCAAGGACCAAGGUAUCACACACACAAGACAUUUUUGCUGAUUGACGGUGCAACUAGCAAGGACACGGGUGAUUAUACAUGUAAAUUUAUACACAAUGAAAAUGGAGUCAAUUACAGCGUGACAGCGACCAGAUCACUCACAGUGAAUGAUGAGGAAGGCUUUUCUUUGUUUCCAGUAAUUAUAGCCCCUCCACAAAAUGAAAUAAAAGAAGUGGAAAUUGGAAAACCAGCAAGCAUACCCUGCUCCGCUUGCUUUGGGAAAGGCUCUCAGAUCAUGGCCGGCAUCCUGUGGAAGGUGAAUGGAAGCAAAGUUCAGAACUUUGGAGAACCAAGAAUUCACGAGGACCGGGAGCAAAAUCAAAGUUCCAGCAAUGAGUUGACUUGUCUGAGCACCGUUUUAAAAAUAGAGCGUGUGAGAGAAGAAGACUUAUCUGUGGAGUAUGACUGCCUGGCUCUGAAUUUGCACGGUUGGACACGGCACACCAUAAGACUAAAGCGGAGAAGUCCAAGUAAGGAGUGUUUCUGAGAUUUUGGCCGCCCAAGUUAGCUGUAUCAACUGUAAGCCGAAAUCACUUUCUUGGAGAACAAUGUGUUGGCAUGUGGUUCCAUGGGGAGUCUCUCAAGAUGAAGAGGUCCAUCUCAUAAAUUGUGUUUUUCCUCUUAAGAACACUGACCAUUUGUAGUCUGGUUUCCCUAGUUGCCUCUCUUCUGUUUUACUUCCCCCUUCCUCCUCUCCCUCCUGCCCCCCUCCUCUUCCCCCUCCUCUAACCUCCCUCCUCCUCUUCCUCCAACCUCCCUCCUCCUCCUCCCUCUCUUCCCUUCCUCCCCCUCUUCCUUUUCUCCCUCCUCCUUUUCCUCUCCUUCCUACUCCUCUCUGUUCUCUCCCUCCUCCCUCCCUCCCCUUCCCUCCUCCCCCUCCUCCUCCCCCACCCCUUACCUUCUCCUGUUGGUUCCUCUUUAACACCCAACUGCCUCCUUGGCCAUCCUCCCGAUUUCAUCAGCUCUCUCUGUCUCACUGUAUACGAAAGACAACGCACUAAGAGUAAACUGAACAUGUUGUUUGUUGCAUGACUUUUAUGACGUUAUAAACAUGUUCUCUUCUAUAAUUUUUUUUGUCACAAAGAAAUUGUUAGUGAAGCUGGCAAAGUGGAUAAAAAGGUAAAGUACUUAAUUACUGCCCACUCCAGUAAGAAGAUCUUAGAUGUUACUUUUUAAUAAGACAUCACGUGCCAUCAUUGUUAAAUUUUAUAAAAUAUUAAAUUUGCUUAUUUAUUUAUUUAUUUAUUUAUACUUGCAAAACCUAAAGUGUUUACUCUUUGGUCCUUUCCAGAAAAAGUGUGGGACCUCUGUGUUCUGUCCCUUUAAAAGAAAUUAUUUGUGUGCUAAUACUAUACUGUAUCAUUUAGCGUAGCUUUAUAAUCAACCCUGAUUUUGGGUAGAGUGAGUCUUCCAAUUUUGUUUUCAUCAAGAUCGUCUUGGCUAUUCUUAGGCCUUUGUACUGCCAUAUAAAUUCUAUUCAGACAUAUUUUGAUUAUAAACAUGUUUUUAUUAUAGUUACCUAGAGGGUUUUAUUGUUUGUUUUAUAAUUACUUAAUGUAUAGUAGAAGUCUUCCCAUGAUAUUAAAUGUUCGUCUACAAUACAAUUUUUAAUGGCUUCUUAGUAUUCAAUUAUACAGAUAGACUAUCAUUUAUCUCACCACAUACACUGCUUGGCUACGUCUUUCUUCUUCUGUCUUUUUAAAAAUCCAAUUUAUUUAUGUUUUUAUUUUUUGAAGUUUAUUUUUGAGAGAGAGAGAGUGUGUGGGCACAGGUGCAUGAGCAGGGGAGGAGCAGAGAGAGAGAGAGGGAGAGGGGGAGAGAAUCCCAAGCAGACUCCAAACUGUCAGCAAGGAGCCCAACGUGGGGCUCAAUCUCACAAAUUGCGAGGUCAUGACCUGACCUGAGCUGAAAUCAAGACUCAGAUGCUUAACCAACUGAGCUACCCGGGCACCCCCAAAAUUUAAUUUAUUUAAACUAAAAAAAAAAAAAAGAAGAAGAAGAAGAGGAAAGAAACCAAAACACAUUUCUCGCACUUCUUCCCCCUCCACCUCUAGUAACCACCAGUCUAAAUAUAGGUGAGACUCAAUGGAAGUCUGGUAGCUCGGCUCACUUCUUUAUUGUAUCUGUCAUUCAACAUGCAAUUCAGGUGCUGCCUUUUAUGGGGAGCCUUCCGUGACCGCUAGUUUGGAGUAUAUGUUCCUUCCAGGUAUUUCUGUAGGACCCUAUUUCUGUCUCCACACUCAUCACACUUAUAAAAAUUUGUUUGAGAGUCUGCUGAACAUAACUGUGACCUCUGUGAGGUCAGGAAUGGCGUCUCACCCAUCUUUGUGUGCUCAGUCUGUAGGGCAGUGCUUGGUACCUAGCAUGUGUCCAAUAAAAAUCGGUCCAAUGAAUAAGCGAAUGCACACCAAAGUUAUCAAGGAAAACUGUUUUUGUGCAUUUCUACUGCUCUAGCGAUAAGGCUCAAUUAUACCGCAAAACAGCAGUUUACAUUUAUGUUUCUCAGACUGGAUAACCUUCCCUGUAACUUGAAAAGGCCAGAUUAUUUAUAACUUUCCUAUAGUUUCAUCUGAAUCUAGCGUGCCUUUAAUGACUUCAUUAUAAUUUGCUGCAAUAAAAUAUGGUCAUAACAAAAAUGUGAAACUGACUACUCUUCAAGAGAUUACAUUCAGACACUACAUAUAAUCUUUUAAAAUGUAACAUUCCCUUUCACAAAUAAUCAGUGGCAUAUGGGGGCAGGAUGUAGAGGAUGAUCAAAUGAUCUGUCUUGGGUAUAGGUAACAGGAGGACACAUUUGUGUAAAGAGUCCAAAACAGACCAUCUAAGAGUCAUUGUGCUUUUUAUCAUCACCCGACCCAGACAUUGUUAAUCAAUGUCAGUGAUGACACGCUCUUCCUCUCAGGGGCAGUCUGUUUCUUCCUUCCACUCUGUCGGUGUGUCCCCACAGGCAAUGAUGUCAGCAAAAAUAGUUUUACAAACAUUUCCUUCCUGAGAACCUAUCAAUUUCCUCACUUGUUUACAUUUCCAGGCAAAGACAUCCUAUUCGUUAGAUGAUGCAUUUAAUCUGGUGUAAAUGGGCGGGGAGAAAAAUAUGGUAUUUUUACACUUGUAAUUCCAUGUACAACGACAUGGAAGUUAUUUAAUGUGUUUGUCAAACAGCAAAAGGGAGAGUUGAACCCUCAGUUUAUACCCCGAAGUGGGAUAUAGCCCCGAUUAAUUUGGAUAAACACAGAAGCACAACCUGACGGAAAAAAGUUGGGAGCGAUGAAAACGGAGGCCACCAAUUUGAUAUGCUCGUGCUAAGUCUCUGCCUGAGGUGGUGCUUCGGAUUUUUGUUUUAAUGUAGACUUCAACCACCAAUUUGUAAGUUUUUUACCAAACAGAAUCAUGACUUCCCUGGAUGAUUUUGAGUGCUAUUGAGUUCUGUGGGUCUCCAGCUUUCUCAGUUAUAACUGAGUCACCCCAGGACAUAUGGACAAUGUCAAGACGUCAUGUUAGGGUAAUGUUGUGAUGGUAGUGGGCACAUUGGUUCCCCAAGGAAAGGGGAAACUGCAGUCUCCACCCUGACACUGCCAUUGCAUCAUUGUCCCCACGUGAAGCUUAUAUUGUCACUUUAUGAAUGUUCUCUCAUUACCUGUGUAUUGGAAUUGUUUUCACGUUACAUGUACUUGGUGACUUUUUUCCUUCUAGUUUAUUUGUAUUUUCUAUGUUUCCCUUGUUUUUCUUCAAAUUCACAUGGUUACACUCUGGCGGGGGGGCCUAGCUGGCUUAGUUGGUGGAGUGUGUGACACUUGAUCUUGGGGUCAUGAGUUUGAACUCCAUGUUGGGUAUAGAAAUUACUUAAAAAUAAAAUCUAAAAAAAAAAAACCACAAAAAACAUGGAUACACUCUGUUUUGACAACUGUGUAAAUUAAACAAAAACUGUUGCUACAGUAGCUCGUCACAAUGAAUGCCUUUAUUUCUAAUCGCAGAAUAAAAGAAAUUACAACACUGCCUUGAGGCUUAGAAAACCAAAACUCUAAAAGCUUAUGUUCCCAUAUUAUUCAAUGUGAUUAAAUAAAUAUUUGAUACUCAUAAGAAUAGUAGUACACAUUUAUUCAUUGUUUCCUUUGAACUUGUCUACUUAUUUUCCAUUUAAUUUCUCAUUUAUUUGAUCAAUAUUCCAUGAAGAAGAGACUGUUACUAUCAUCCAAUUUUGCAGCGAAGGAAACAGAAGCAAAUGGAGGUUGCAUACAUUACCAAAUAUUCUAGUUAGAGCCAGGAUUCCAACUUGGUGCUUUCCUAUUUAUAAACACCUUCAGAAAGUAUUUGGUGUUUAAUCAUUACAUUAACAGGAAGGUAUGGGACUUCAACUUCCUUUACUGACUUGGUUAACUUCUUUCCUCCUGUUGAAAGCAGCCAGUCACAUGCACACUUACUUCACCGAAACCUCCACACUCCCAGAGUGUGUCUAGGUAGGACCUUUAGAGAGAGUGAACUGGGGCAGGGUGUGGACAAUCCUGUUGAAAUGCCUUACUUAGGGAGUGUCUAUCAUUUACACUAAUGACAGUGCAGUCAGUAAACUCUCUGCCAAUUUUCAGCAACACCCUCUGCUCCCUGGUUUUGAAUCACUUCACCUUGGCCGUUCUUCAUUUCAUGGUGCUGGAUGCUCAGCAGGCCGAUGAGCCUUCAAGGGAGGAAUUUGUGACUAUGGAUAAGUCGCAAAUUUUCCAUGGCAAGCCUAGGAACCCAUGCUUUGAGACGUCACAUGAAAAUGCAGGGAGAACACUGUAAGAGUCAAAUCUUAUGUGAGGUCCUUCUCACGUUCAUCUUUCCGGGGCACUAUUUGUAAGAAGAUAGUUACUUCCAAAGAGAGAAGUAAACCUAAAACGUCCAAGAAUACUAUUAAUAAGUAUAAUUCUUGCGUUCAGUGUGUAUGUAGCUGUUACUAGGCCUUGAAAAUGGGAACCAUCUUGCAUAUGCACCUUGUGCAGAAGUGAGUACAGGACCCAGUUCAACGGUGGCUAAAUGAUGUCCACCAUGAGAAAAGUAAGGGGCGUGUAGAACCUAAAACCCCAGUAGUUUGAGUUCUCCAUCAGUGAUGCUUUAGUGACUUACAAGGUUCUUGUUUCUUCCCUGCUUUCUUGUGCCCCCAGCCCCAGAUGCAGUAAGACCCCAAGACGUGUUGAUUCAUUCUCUUUCAUGCCCCAAUACCAGGUGCAACCAUUCCUUUCUCAUUCUUACAGGAGUCUGAGCCCUCCUUACCUCUAACUGCCAAGUAUUACAGAAGCUUCCCAUCAAUUUUACUCUAAGUUCCUACAGCCUCUCCCACAGAAACAAACCUUCCCCUACGUUCGGAUGAAUCUUGCUUAUAAACCACUUUUGUUGUUAACACUCCACUCAAGACUCAUCAAGGGCUCCCGUGACCUUUACAGUAAAGACAAAAUACCUUGACAGGAAUCUCAAGUCUGGUCAGAACCUCGCCCUGACACACACUUCUUACUGUGUCUGCCUCUAACUCCCCAAAAUGGAUCACUCCAGUUCCUCAGAACACAC